AUAACAUUAUUAUAAUUAUACAUGAAAUAAAAAAAAUGAAAACCAUAUAAUUUUAACGAUAGCACAUGUAGAGUAUCCAACAUCACAAAUUCAAUCAAAUUAUCAAAACCUCUUACUAAUUGUAAUUAAAAAUUUAACACAUAUGAUUACAGAAAAAUACAAAUAUCAUUACAAAGAAAAAUAUGAGACAGAAAAUUAAUAUUUUACAAUAAAAUAAAACAAAAAAUAUACCCGCC
rnacentral:lncRNA from 1 species